rnacentral:rRNA from 1 species
UACGAAGGGGGCUAGCGUUGCUCGGAAUCACUGGGCGUAAAGCGCACGUAGGCGGACUCUUAAGUCAGGGGUGAAAUCCUGGAGCUCAACUCCAGAACUGCCUUUGAUACUGGGAGUCUUGAGUUCGGGAGAGGUGAGUGGAACUGCGAGUGUAGAGGUGAAAUGCGUAGAUAUUGGGAGGAACACCAGUGGCGAAGGCGGCCACCUGGACGGUAACUGGACGCUGAGACGCGAAAGCGUGGGUAGCAAACAGG